rnacentral:rRNA from 1 species
GAUGAACGCUGGCGGCGUGCCUAAUACAUGCAAGUCGAGCGAACAGACGAGGAGCUUGCUCCUCUGAUGUUAGCGGCGGACGGGUGAGUAACACGUGGAUAACCUACCUAUAAGACUGGGAUAACUUCGGGAAACCGGAGCUAAUACCGGAUAACAUGUUGAACCGCAUGGUUCAACAGUGAAAGACGGUCUUGCUGUCACUUAUAGAUGGAUCCGCGCCGCAUUGGCUAGUUGGUAAGGUAACGGCUUACCAAGGCAACGAUGCGUAGCCGACCUGAGAGGGUGAUCGGCCACACUGGAACUGAGACACGGUCCAGACUCCUACGGGAGGCAGCAGUAGGGAAUCUUCCGCAAUGGGCGAAAGCCUGACGGAGCAACGCCGCGUGAGUGAAGAAGGUCUUCGGAUCGUAAAACUCUGUUAUUAGGGAAGAACAAAUGUGUAAGUAACUAUGCACGUCUUGACGGUACCUAAUCAGAAAGCCACGGCUAACUACGUG